rnacentral:rRNA from 1 species
AACGAACGCUGGCGGCAGGCUUAACACAUGCAAGUCGAGCGCCCCGCAAGGGGAGCGGCAGACGGGUGAGUAACGCGUGGGAACGUACCUUUUGGUUCGGAACAACUCCGGGAAACUGGAGCUAAUACCGGAUAAGCCCUAACGGGGAAAGAUUUAUCGCCGAAAGAUCGGCCCGCGUCUGAUUAGCUCGUUGGUGAGGUAACGGCUCACCAAGGCGACGAUCAGUAGCUGGUCUGAGAGGAUGAUCAGCCACACUGGGACUGAGACACGGCCCAGACUCCUACGGGAGGCAGCAGUGGGGAAUAUUGGACAAUGGGCGCAAGCCUGAUCCAGCCAUGCCGCGUGAGUGAUGAAGGCCUUAGGGUUGUAAAGCUCUUUUGUCCGGGAAGAUAAUGACUGUACCGGAAGAAUAAGCCCCGGCUAACUUCGUG